GACCUGGCCGGGCGGUCUUGCCGAAAGGUAAGCACUGUGUUAGCCGGGUCUUUCCUUCUGGGGAACCUGCGUGCUCUUAACUGGGUGCGCAGGGGAUCCAGGACUUUUACUUUGAAAAAAUUAGAGUGUUUAAAGCAGGCAUACGCUUGAAUACAUUAGCAUGGAAUAAUAGAAUAGGAC
rnacentral:rRNA from 1 species